rnacentral:rRNA from 1 species
UACGGGGGGGGCAAGCGUUGUUCGGAAUUACUGGGCGUAAAGGGCUCGUAGGCGGCCAACUAAGUCAGACGUGAAAUCCCUCGGCUUAACCGAGGAACUGCGUCUGAUACUGGAUGGCUUGAAUCCGGGAGAGGGAUGUGGAAUUCCAGGUGUAGCGGUGAAAUGCGCAGAUAUCAGGAGGAACACCGGUGGCGAAGGCGGUUCUCUGGGCAUUACCUGACGCUGAGGAGCGAAAGUGUGGGGAGCGAACAGG